rnacentral:lncRNA from 10 species
UGUUCCUGAAGUCUACACCUGAGCUUGCAGUAUAACUUUUGUUUGUAUUUUGCUUAAGCCAGUUUGAAUGGGAUUUAUGCUACUUAGAAUAAAAGGGUCCUGAGAAUCUUUCUGCUACUGAGAAAGAUCACAGAAUAGUGAGUGCUUCUGUCCCCAGGGCACUCCUGGGAGGCAGUUUGCAAAUGCAUUGGGGAGGAGAUGAGAUUUUCUGAAGUCAGAUUGUGGUGAACAGGGCAUAUCCUCAGGAAAGCACAGAAUGCCACAGCUAGCCAGGCUGUGAAAGGCUCUCUGGAGCCUGGAAUGCCGUCAUUGUUCUGAGGUUUUGCAUCAUGUCUAAAGUCACUGUCCUGUCCUCCUAACAGGAGAAUGGAGUCCCAGAAACCUAGGAGGAGAAGACAAAGUGUCAGCCUCUCGGCAUCUGCAGUGUUGCUAGGAAAAGAGCUCUGAUCCCAGGGGCUUACCCACUUCCACAGGUAGGAAGCGUCCCUGAGAGGACUGGAACAUUAGCAUAUCUCAGAUCCAUCUGCAAAACUUUUGCAAACACGGAACUCCCUCGUUCUAAUCUUAUCAGCAACUUCCAGAGCUGAACCUUGAUUAAUCUGGAUACAAAAAGGAUUGAAACGCCACAUAAUAAGCAUUAACAGGAGGGUGUUUCCUUUAUCAAUGAAGCUUGAUUUAUCCAUGAUGAUCUAGUGCAUUCUCCUCCCAAAAAUCAGGAUCAUCCUCUGCAUAUGAAGGAACAGACAAGCCCUCAGCUCUACCACUUUGGAGAGGGGGGGAUUGGACAGCAUGAGCCUUCAAUUGUAUCUCUUGGAUGACCAAGGAAGGCUGGAUUUCUGCACCUAAAAAAUGGAAGCACAAACUGUACAACAAAUACUCUCCAUUCAAGUUGAAGUUCUCAAAUAAGGUUCUUUUCAAGGUGUUGGUGACACAGAUAUGAGGAAAACAGAGUUGACUCAUGGUGAUGGAGCUUACAUUCUAUGGGGCAAGAGUGAGCAGAGGAAUGUGGACAAGAAGACAUCUUCAAUAAAGUGACAUUUAUAUAGAGACAUAAAGAAAUGGAGGGGGAGCCAUGCAUAUCAAGGAACAUAAGUGCAAAGGCCUUGAGUUAGAAUCCUGUAGGGUGAUUUGUAGAAACAGUAAGGCCAGAGAGGAACACAGCUGGAACAGAGUGAAUUAGGAGAUGUGAACAGAAAGGUCGCAGGGAGUCAGGUUAUUUAGGACUCUGUAGGCCAUUGUAAAUAUUUGGGAUGGGACACUGGGCAGAGGAGUAACAUCAUCUCAUUUCAGUUUUGAAAGGUUCACUCCAGCUACUCUGUUGACAAUGGAUUAUAGAAGACUGAACAUGGAAUCCAGGAGACCAGUCAGAAAACUUCUUCAGGAAUCCAGCACAGUCUUGGCCUGUUCUGGAGAAUGCUCCCCAUCAAAAAUAAUUGACUGGAGACAAGCCAAGUCAGGAUUCUCCCUGGGAUCAAUUUCUGAUGGCGCUUUCUUCAUAAACAGGGGGACCUUUUCAAAUUCCUCUUCCCACUGGUCCUCAUGAAAGCCGCCACGGUAAGGCUGGCUCUGGAACUUUUCCAGGAACAAGUCCGUGGCAUCGUCUGAGGUGGGGUCCUGCUCAGGUUACUCCAUAACUGAUGCCCUGCCCUCCAGCCCAGGUCCCGGCACCGUGAAGUGUAGAAAAUACUCUACAAUGAAUAAAAAUAAAAUACAAUAUUCAAGAUUUAUGAAUGCAAUAAAAGCAGUGGUCAGAAGGAACAUUUAAGCUCUAAACACAUUAAAAAAGAAGAAUGAUAUUAAUAGAAAAUCUAAUUGUGUAUCUUACAUAACUAGAAAAUGAAAAGCAGUCUAAAGCCAAAGCAUGAAGGAGGUAGGAAAUAAUGAUUAGAGGAAACAUAAAUGACAUAGAGAAUAGAAAAACAAGAGAGAGUAUCAAUGAACCUAAAAUUUGGUUCUUUAAAAAGAUUACCAGAUUUGACAAACCUUUAGCUAUACUAAUAAUAGAAGACUAAAAUAAAUAAAAUUAAAAAUGAAAUCAUAGACAUUAUAACUGAUACCAUAGAAAUACAAAGGAUCAAAAGAAACUACUAAUGAACAAUUAUAUGCCAACAAAUUGGAUUACCUACAGGAAAUUGAUGAAUUCCUACAACAUACAACCUACCAACGCUGAAUCAUGAAGAAAUAGAAAAUCUAAACAGACCAAUAGUGAGUAAAGAGAUUGAGUCUGUAAUCAAAAAUCUUACAAAAAAGAAAAGCUCAGUAUCAGACAGCUUCACUGAUGAGUUCUAUCAGUCCUUUAAUGAAAAUUUAUACCAAUCAUUGCCAAACUCUUUCAUAAAAUUGAAGAGAUGAGAAUAGUUCAUAAUUCAUUGUAUGAGGCUGGCAUUACGUAGAUACAAAGCCAGACAAAGACAUUACAAGAUUGUCUCUUUUAAGUAUAGAUGCAAAGCCUCUUGAUAAAAUCCUAUCAAACUGAAUACAGCAGCAUAUUAAAGGGAUCAUACUCCAUGACAAAUGGGAUUUAUCUCAGUAAUGCAAGAAUGGUUCAACGUAUGAAAAUCACUCAAUGUAAGAAACCACAUGAAUAGAAUGAAGGGAGAAAAAAGACCCCAAAAUAUACGAACAUUUCAGUUGAUGCAGAGGAAUCAUUUGAUAAAGUUCAACAUUCUUUUAAAACACUCAGUAAAUGAAGAAUAAAAGAUAUCUUCCAUAACACGAUAAAGGUGAUAUAUGAAAAACCCACAGCUAACAUCACACCCAAUAUUGAAAGACUCAAAGCUUUCCCUUAACAAUGGGAACGAGAGCAGGAUUCCUACUGUCGCUAUUUUUACUCAAUAUAGUAGUAGAAAUUCUAGCCAGAGCAAUUAGAGAAGUCAAAUAAAUGAAAAUCUUACAAAUUGAAAAGAGAGAAGUUCUCCAUUCACAGAUGACCUGGUCUUAUGUGUAGAAAGCUCUAAGGAUUUAAUAACAAAACUAUUAGAGCUAAUAAAUGAAUUAAGCAAAGUUGUAGGACAAAAAAACAAUAAACAAAAUCAGUUGUGUUUCUAUACACUAGAAAUAAGCAAUAGGACAAGUUUUUUAAAACUUUCUUUUUAUAGUAGCAUCUGAAAGAACAGAUAUGUAGGAAUUUAAUCGGAAAUUAAAGACGUACUGAAAACUACAAAACAUUGCUGAAAUAAAGAAGUCAUAAAUCAAUGGAAUGUGUUCAUGGUGUAAGAUUUAAUAUUGUUAAGGUGAUAAUGCUACUCGAUUUGCUUUGCUAAUCAAAGCAAUCUACAGAUUGAAUCCAACAAUUUUUUUUUUCUUGUGGAAAUAGAAAACCCAUUCUAAAGUUCAUAUGAAAUCUUAAGGGACCUUGCAUAGCCAAAACAAUCUUGAAAAGAAUAAAUGUGGACAACUCACAUUUCCUGAUUUCAAAACUUAUCACAAAGAUACAGUAAUCAAAACAGUGAGGUACUUGUAUAAAGACAGACAUACAGACCAAUAGAUUUGAAUAGAUAUUCCAGAAGUAAACUCUCACAUACACAGACAAUUGAUUUUUGACAAGGGCACAAAAGCCAUUCAAUGGGGAAAAGGACAAUCUUUUCAACAAAUGGUGCUGGGAAAACUGUGUAUCCACAUGUAAAAAAAUGAAGUCAAACCUUUUCCUCAAAUUAUAUACAGAAAUUCACCAAAAAUGAAUAAAAUACUUAAAUAUAAGAACUAAAACUAUAAAACUCUUAGAGGAAAACAUACAACUAAAUCUUCAUGAUAUUAAUUUCUUAGAUAUGACACCAAAAGGAUGAGGAAUAACAAAAAUAGAUAAACUGAAGGGUAGAAAGCAAAGUGAUAAUGGAAGAUGAGAGUCGAGUGAUGUGACCAGGAGCCAAGGAAUGCCAUGGCCUCUAGAUGUGGGGAGUUAAGGGACCAAUUUUCCCUGGAAACUCCUGAAGGAACUUGCCAUGCCAACACCUUGAUUAUAGCCCUUUAAGAUACAUUUUGGACUGUUGAUCUCCAGGAUUGUAAGAUAAUACAUUCGUGUUGAUUUAAGCCACUGAAUAUGUGGUGAUUUGUUACAGCAGCAAUAGUAAACUGAUACACAAUCUCAAUGAAAGUAGGGAUUUCUGUCUUCCCACACCCUGCUCACUUCACUAGAGAAUUUAUAGCACUUAGUGUAUUCUUCGAUAAAUAUUUGUUGAGUAAGAUGAAUGAAGCCAGACUUUAGAGUCAGAUUACACUUGGCUGGUUAACUGUUGUGAGGAAAGCAGUUGAAAGUUCUCUUGGCCUUGCUUCUACUUGCACUGGGAAGCACUGUCAUCAAUGAAGGGGUUGCUGUGGGUUUCAAGAGAAAAGAAAAGGUGUGAGAAUCUCCCAGGUACAGUGGGAGCUCAUCUGGACUAGGGAAAUAAAAUAGGAUUGCUUGGUUAUUGCUCACUUGGUCACUAAUAUAACAUGAAUUGAGACAGUAUGGUUGUAUAUUUUUCUCCAAUUAAGGUUAUGGGGUGGCAUGGCCUAGGGGAAGUUACUUAUUUUGCAAGGGUGAUUUGAUAGAGGCAGCAAGCCAGGUAGCUGGGAUGUUUGCAAGGGCAUGAUCAUAAUGGUGUACCAUGCAAUUUAAGCAGGGGCAGGUGGAAAUAAGGACUUGAUGUGAUAUGUUCAGAUCCAUGAAUAAGACAUCAUAACAGGAGUCACAGUAUUGUCAGACUAGAAGUACUGGAGGAAGGGAGCUGGACAUUUGAAAGAGAUGGGAGGGUGGAAUGUUUGAGAUUGAGUGAAUGGAGGUGCUGUGUUCAUUUGGUCAUGCUAAGGUCUUGGGGUGGCCAUGGGAGGGGUGGGUGGCUGAGGUGGGGCAGAGGACAGACUCAUCUGGAGAUGAUGCAAUAAAUGAAGGGGAAAGCUAGGCCCUGCAAGGAGCUCUCUUGUGUGUAUUAAAAUCAUCAAAAACUGUGGCAGGAGUGAUUGCAGAGAUCCUAGUGACCCAUGAUCAAGGAAUGAAGAGGAAGACCAGCGGUCUAGAGAUUACUGCACAUGUGGGGUGGGAAGAGGGCGGUAACAGAUGACAAUCAUUAAUUUGAUAAAAAAGUAUUGAAUGUCUGCUCUGUGCCAGGCACAUGGUGGUAGGGUCUGAUGGGAGGUUAAAGGGAAGAGAGGUGGAUAAUGUUCUGGAGAUUUCAAUGAGCAAGAAGGGUAUUUAGCCCACAUUGAGGCCCAACAGAUUGAAGCCUUAAAAGAAAACAGCAACACCUGAGAAGGAUGCCAGGAAAUGAGUCCUAGGGGUACAUGUGGAGUCAGCUGGAGCACAUCCAGGAAGAAGGACAGAAGAAAGACUGUGAAGGACUUGAGUCAGGGAGGGGUGUGAGCUGACUCAGAAAGGGUGAUGCAUGGGUAGGCCAUGGGGUGAGGGAUGAACGGGAGUCUUGGAUUUCCUGUGGUCACUCAGGGAAACCCAGCAGCUAAAAGUAAGUGAUUUAAGCAAAUGAAUGGACAGAUGAAUUAAUGAAUAGACUAAAGAUGGACAAAUGCUUCCACCAGCCUUGCUUCAGGCCCUAUUUAGAACUGAAGUUGACUUCCUCUUUCUUUUAAUAGCUGCAAAAAUGAUGAAUUUGAUUUUCGUCUCUAGAAGCAAUUUCCUUUUUAAAUCAGGUGAGGAUCUUGGCAGAUGCGAAGAAUCUUUCAGAACCUGCAUGUAUAUGAGAAAGGGAUAUGACAGCAUGAAGUUCUCCUGUUUGAAGAAGCUAAAUGGAGCCACUUUUUGACUCAGUUGACUGGGACCUGGAGCUGGUGCACUAUUUGAAUUGCAUGGUGUGCCUGCCGCUGCCUUUUGACUUCUCCAGCCUGUACACCUGCCUUUUUGGGGAGAACUGUGGUAACAUAUGGGGAGGCGUCCUGUAUUUUCUGCAAUAUCUGACAAAGAAAAACUAGUUGGUUCAUAUGUAUAUAUGAUCUUUCAACAAGAACGUCAAAUAAAUAUCUUCACUCCUUGGGGAGAAGCAGGUCAGAGCCCCACUGUCUCAGCUAGCUCUCACUUGGCUGUCUUGUUUUGGGGCUGGAAGGCCACACUGUGUUUCCUGGGGUAGAGGCGGAGUCUGGGCAUUCUCCCUUUGUAGCUGAGAGCUAAGAGCAGUUGUGUCUGCUUUGAUAAAAUAAAGUUAUUUUUUAGUUUAGUCUGAUCUCCAAAUCCUUCCCUUUCAGAUACCUCUGCCAUCCAAGAUCAGGGGAUACUAAAUUUUCAAAGCAUUUUCUCAGGAGUUGCAUGAGAAAACAUACACCUGCUCUUGUUUUCAAGGGGUGUGGGCAAGAAGUAAAAAGGACAAACUGUUAAUGAGAACACUUUCUGUAUUCCUCCCUCCCCACUGAUACAUACCAGUACCAUAAAAUUUAAAAUGAGUCAAAUGACUGCAGUAAGACUUUACUUUGGUAUACGAGGCAAAAUGUUGGACAUGGGUGCUAAUUAAUCAUCAGAGAGUUACAGGGGAACCUGGACGAAUUAAGACUGGGGCAAGAGACAGCUCAUCAAGGAUCUUGCCCUGUAGCUCAAGAAGAAAAUGUUUAACUUAGUUGCCUGGACACUCUGAGGAUAGAAUGAAAUGCUGUAUGCGACCUGUUGGCCUUGGAAGCCGGCAUGGAUUCAGCACCCAGGGUUGGGGUGAACCUUCUCUCCCUCACUGUGUCAGGCAUCUUAGUCUGCCCCAGGAUGUGCAGGCUGCCUGUCCCUGGCCUCACAUCCUGCUGUAAGUGGGAUUGUGACCCCCUGAAAUGCAUAUGUUGAAGCCCUAACUGCCUCUGUGAUGGUAUUUGGAGGUGAAGCCUUUGGGAGAUAAUUAGGGUUAGAUGAAGUCCUAAGGACCUCCAUGAUGGGAUUAGUGUCCUUACAAGAAGAGGAAGAGACACCAGAGCUUCCCCUCUCUCACCUGUGAGGACAGAGGUAGCAGGUGGCUGUG